AUGGAAGCAGCAGCAGGAGAUGAGGAGAGGCCCUUGCUCCAUCAUCACCCUCCUCCUGGCCUCUAUCAGAACGGGGAUUCAAGGUUAAAUACUUGCGAUGGAACCGUCGAUGUUAACGGACAACCAGCUGCUAAGGCGAGCACGGGAAACUGGAGAGCCUGCUUCUUCAUUUUAGGUAUCGAAUUCAGCGAGUGCUUGGCCUACUUCGCCAUCUCUAAGAACUUAGUCACCUACCUCACCAGUGUGCUGGACGAAAGCAACAUUGACGCAGCAAGGAAUGUGUCCACUUGGAUUGGCACAACAUUCUUCACGCCACUUGUCGGAGCUUUCUUGGCAGACACAUAUUGGGGAAGAUACAAGACAAUCGUGAUUUUUCUCUCGAUUUACACCGUUGGGAUGCUUGUGCUGACGUUUUCGGCGAUACUCCCAUCGUUGAUGCAAUCCUCCAACCAUCAUGAGAUCCACCGUGUUGCCGUCUACGCAGGACUCUAUCUUACAGCCCUUGGCAACGGUGGCAUCAAGCCCUGCACUUCUGCCUUCGGCGCGGACCAGUUUGACAUGGCUGACCCAGCGGAGCGCGUGAAGAAGGGAUCCUUCUUCAACUGGUACUUCUUCUCGAUCAACGUUGGCUCCCUUCUAUCGACCACUGUGAUUGUCUGGGUGCAGGAUAAUGUCGGUUGGGGGAUCGGCUUCGCCGUACCGAUGAUCCUCAUGAGCCUCGGUUUCGCGGUGUUUGUAACCAGUAGGAGGGUGUACAGGUACAAGACACUAGGAGAGAGCCCCAUGACAAGAGUGUCCCAGGUUGUUGUUGCAGCUGCAAGGAAUUGCCAUAUGGAGUUGCCUGAUAAUAGCUCAGCCUUGCAUCACCUACCUUCACCGCCAAUAGAGACUACCUUCAAGGUUCACCAUACCACUCAGUUCAGAUUUUUGGACAAGGCUGCUAUUGUGCCACCCCCGACGCCGGGGAAGAAGGACGUGGAGGCGGGUCCGUGGAGGCUAUGCACGAUGCCUCAGGUGGAGGAGGUGAAGAUGCUGCUGCGGUUGUGCCCUGCGUGGGUGUCCAUGGUGGUCUUCUUCAUGAUCACAGCGCAGAUGUCGUCGACGCUGAUUGAGCAGGGCAUGGCGAUGGACAACCACGUCGGGCCAUUCACCGUGCCACCAGCCUCCCUUGCAGGCUUCGACGUGGUUGCAAUGCUCGUGUUGAUCCCCGUGUACGACGCUGUGCUGGUGCCCUUCGCACGGCACGCCACCGGCCUCGACCGGGGCCUCUCGCAUCCGCAGCGCCUCGGUGUCGGUCUCGCGCUGUCCAUGCUCGCCAUGGCCUACUCGGCGUUACUUGAGAGGAACCGGCUCGCGGUGGCCGCAACCGGAGCAACAGUGAGCAUCAUGUGGCAGGCACCGGCGUACACAAUACUGGGCGCCGGGGAGGUGUUCGCGGCCAUUGGCGUGAUCGAGCUCUUCUACGACCAAGCGCCCGACAGCAUGAGGAGCCUGUGCACCGCACUCGCGCAGCUUGCUGUCGCAGCGGGGAACUACCUUAACUCGGCCGUGUUGGGCUCCGUCGCGUCUGCCACGGGAUGGAUCCCGGAGGACCUCGACGACGGCCACCUGGACUACUUCUUCUGGCUGAUGGCGGUGCUCGGCGCCCUGAACCUGCUCCAAUUCUUGCUCUGCUCCAUUCCGGCCAUGAGGCAGAGCGGCAGGUAG
rnacentral:rRNA from 1 species